rnacentral:rRNA from 1 species
UACAGAGGGUGCGAGCGUUAAUCGGAAUUACUGGGCGUAAAGCGCACGUAGGCGGCUUGGUAUGUCGGGUGUGAAAUCCCCGGGCUCAACCUGGGAACUGCAUCCGAAACUGCCUUGCUCGAGUAUGGGAGAGGGAAGUGGAAUUUCCGGUGUAGCGGUGAAAUGCGUAGAAAUCGGAAGGAACAUCAGUGGCGAAGGCGACUUCCUGGACCAAUACUGACGCUCAGGUGCGAAAGCGUGGGGAGCAAACAGG